AUUUAUGUUGUUCUUAGGUACCAAUCAGGUUAUUGAUGCCGCCGGAUAGCUGUCGUUGGCUAUAAUGUGAUUAGGUACCAAUCUUGUUAUUAAAGAUGUUAUGUUAUAUAAUGCGGCUACAUAAUUAUACUCUUAUAUGGUCAGCCAAGUGUUCUUCUGGAUAUACCUUUGUGCAAUGUAUAACUGAAGUAUGAUCAUUUCCUUGCAUAAACUAAGCAUACUAUUAAAAUUUUGUGUGUCAGGCCUUAAGAGUAGAUUGCCUUUUCUGUACUUUUGUGUUGCUUCAUCCAUUAAUUAUUUAUUAAAAUGUUAACACUUCAUUGUUAAUGUAUGGUUGUUUACCUUUUGGUGUCGACUUUCGACUUACUGAUUUGUGCAAUCAAAUAUAGAAAAGGAUCUCGUUUCGGACACGACAGCCUUGCUGAUGGCAUGCUUAAGGAUGACCUGAUGUUACUGAUGACACACAUUGAGUUACCUCGCACCAUCAUUUGGCCUUUCAAGCACUUGAUUUGCAUUUUUUUGAUGUAAUCAAAUAGUGUCCCUGCAUCUUAACAAGCCACCCAUUUAAUGUGUCAUCCUUUCCUUUUCUUUUCCUGGAGUUUUUUCAAUAAACAUCGAUGCACUUAUGGAUAGUACAUUGACGCUGAUGAUUCUAUCUUCUUUAUUUGAGAAUAUGAUAUUGUACAUGUAUUAUAGAUUGGAUUACAAAAUAGUGGUUGUAGUUCUUAUGAUUUGCAGUAGCUUAGGUCUGGUGCUGUGGCUUUAGCACAUAACAUGGAUCGGUUUUAAUAUUCUGUUCAUGCUCAUCUUCGCAUUUUAUAGGCAGGUUGUUUGGGAUAAUUUGUACUUUACUAAAUUACUGCUAAAGUGGUUUUGUUGAGAGUUGAAACUAUACCAAUGUUUUGCUUUCUGCUAAAGUCAAAGAUAUUGUAUCCUUGAAUGUUUUUCAAUUACCAACACAUGCCAAAUUCUGCAUAUUUGUUAAUGAUUUCGAUGCCUUCUGUUAGUUUUGCACUAUGGAAGUCAUUGUUUGCUAUGUAUGAAUAUUGGCUUAUUGGGUUUAGAAAACAUUGUAUAUUUUUUAUAUGCUCUCAGUUGAACACGUUUCGGUAUGUAGUGUACAUGGUAUAGGCAGGUAAGAAAACAACCUUAUUUAAGCUCAGGCCUGACUAGCGAUUAAGUCAUUAAAUUUUAGUGGGUAGGUAAAAGAGCAGCCCUAUUUUCGGUAUGCUUGACUUUCAGUAUUUUUGGUCACAGAUUUGUUGAUCUUGUUUACUGCCUCUAUCAAAAUAUUUGUACAAAUCCAGACUACAAAACGUCUUAUAUAUUGAUAGAGUGAGGACUACAGAUUGUGCUGGUGGCAACCUGGGGAAGACUUAUCGACGUGGAUACAGCCACAUUCCUUGACCGAAAUGAUCCAAACUAUGAUAGUAACAAGGUAAUACUUCAUGGUCUUGACCUACACAUUCAUGUCGUUUUUCAUGCAAUGAUGAACCUUCUAAUCCAAGCAAGGGUCUUCUUUAUGUUUGCAGAUAGUUUGGUGCUCUCAUGGUUAUUUUGUAGAGAUUGUCCUUCUGUUCAUUAUUUGGCAAUCAUCUACUGCAGCUCAGCUACUGUCCAGCUGCUUCCCUUAUGGUGAGUGAUUGAUGGUGCAUGUUUUCCUAUUAGUUUCUCCUGUAUGCCAAUUUCUCAAUUUAGGUUGCUGUUUUGCAUUUCUCUAGGCCUUUCAUUCUCACUGUGAUCCCCUGAGAUGCCUUGUGUAUUUGCGUUGUCCUCUGCUUCUGAUAAUGCAAGACAGAUCAAACCAAUGCAGUAAUCCUCUGAUCCUUCAUUAUAUUAUGAAAAAAACACUAUGAUUUUCCAUGUCAGGGUACUACUAUGUCAAAUUGAUGCUUUGUACUACAUGUUCAGGUGUAUACCCUGACAAUAUUGGGCAUUUGCAUUGUCAUUUGCUUUAUUUGUUCAUAUCGCAUUGUUUUUUUAGUUAUAGCCGGUUUUAUUUGCUAUUCAAACCCAUCCAUUUGUCUUGUUUUCAUUUUUUUCUUACAAAUUUUUUCUGAUGAGAAGAUGUCUUUUAGUUGUGUAUUUGUUCUCUUGAAUUCAUUUGUUUCUUAUGCAAGGGUUCUCUAAAAAAAUAAUUUUGUAGGCAAGACGAAACUUAAAAGGGGAUCUCGGACAAGUGGAAGGAGGGAAGUCGUCGUAAGAUAGAUAAUAAACUUGCCUCCGCUCUGACAAGAGCAUGUUCGUUCAGACCUUUUCUUACUAAAAGAUUUUUAUCUAUAGCAAGUGUUUCCAUUGGAACUAUCAAAUUCAAACUCCUAGAUGUCUAUGUCAGCAUGUAGGACUUUGUCCAGGCGGAGAUAUCCCCUCUGAUCUUUUUAUGAAUCCUUCCACACUUCUUUGUAAAGUGUUGCUGAUUUUAAUAAAAUCUCUCUAUUCAAAAGACAAUAUAAUUCAAGCUACUAGAGGAGCUUGUUCAUUCAGACCUUUCCUUACAUUUUAACUAUGAUAGUGACCUCUUUUAUUUGUCUA
rnacentral:lncRNA from 1 species